rnacentral:rRNA from 1 species
UGGUUUUUUGUUUAAAUGUUUUUUCGCCUAAGGAUGAGUCUGCGGCCGAUUAGGUAGUUGGUUAGGUAAUGGCUUACCAAGCCGUUGAUCGGUACGGGUUGUGAGAGCAAGAGCCCGGAGAUGGAACCUGAGACAAGGUUCCAGGCCCUACGGGGUGCAGCAGGCGCGAAACCUCCGCAAUGUGAGAAAUCGCGACGGGGGGAUCCCAAGUGCCAUUCUUAACGGGAUGGCUUUUCAUUAGUGUAAAGAGCUUUUGGAAUAAGGGCUGGGCAAGACCGGUGCCAGCCGCCGCGGUAACACCGGCAGCUCUAGUGGUAACAAUUUUUAUUGGGCCUAAAGCGUCCGUAGCCGGUUUAAUAAGUCUCUGGUGAAAUCCUGUAGCUUAACUGUGGGAAUUGCUGGAGAUACUAUUAGACUUGAGACCGGGAGAGGUUAGAGGUACUCCCAGGGUAGAGGUGAAAUUCUGUAAUCCUGGGAGGACCGCCUGUUGCGAAGGCGUCUAACUGGAACGGUUCUGACGGUGAGGGACGAAAGUUAGGGGCGCGAACCGGAUUAGAUACCCGGGUAGUCCUAACUGUAAACGAUGCGGACUUGGUGUUGGGGUGGCUUUGAGCUGCUCCAGUGCCGAAGGGAAGCUGUUAAGUCCGCCGCCUGGGAAGUACGGUCGCAAGACUGAAACUUAA